rnacentral:tRNA from 1 species
GGUGGCUCAGUGGUAGAGCACUUGCCUUGCAUGCAUAGGCCCUGGGUUCGAUUCCUCAGCACCA